UCCUGCUGCCCAUGGCUGCUUGUUUGCCAU
rnacentral:piRNA from 1 species